GUCUAGUGGACUGCGAUGGUGGUACACGGUGUCCCCCUUGUGGUGCGGCUGCAAGAUUGCUAGACGUAAGGUCCCUUAUGUUAUAUCCUGUCUGAGGGAGGAGAGCAGAAGAAGAGGAGGCAGCACCAGGAUGAAACGGGAUACUGGUACAAAUGGCUGGAAGAUGAAACUUACUAAUUUCUUGCACUGUUCCUUCUGGAAUCUUCUACAUAGGAAAUUGGUCACCCAUGAAGAGGAUAAGCAUCAUAUCAGACGUAACUUCCACUGGGUGACGCGGGAAGAAACAGCACUGAGUACCAUACAGCAAAUCCAGUCUUAAUAGUCAUCAAACCGUCGCUCUCUAUUUACCAGAGUCCACAGAUAUUUUCGAAUAGAAGCUUCACAAUUUGGGCUUCUCUUUACAAAUUCCGCCGAUUGUUUUUUAUUGUUCAGUCAGUUGAUCUCAACAGUUUGGGAAAAAAGGGAAAUAUUCUUUUUUCACGAAACUUAGUUUUAGCACAAUGUUACUAUAUAUUGAAAGGCUAUUAUAUAAUUAUUUGAUAGAAACUAGUGCAGACGGCUGCCUACAGAGGGCAAUUAACAUAUUCAUAAUGGAAUUCCCAUGGAUAACAUAUGGAUAAUACAUGUAAAACAGCAUCAUUGAUAGUUGGUUGGUUGAAUGGUGAACAUUACGCUAGCAUGAAAAAAUAAAGACUGUUGCCAUAAGUCGACUCGUAAAGGGUGAAAUGGAGUAGGAAGACUCUUGUUAGCUAGUAGGGACGUCAUGAAUUCAUUUUCAGUAGUUUCUUAUACUGAAAUCGGACAGAAUCCAAAAACGAUACCCAUUGAAAUUCAGAGGUCAUAUAAACAGAUUGUUCAGAUUUGCAUUUAUUUUAGUCGUUAGUUCAACACGAAAAGUCAGUCAUCAUUUGUUUGUACUGAUGAUGAUUUAUCAAUGUCUUGUCGCUUAUUCUGAUGUAUAUAAUUGUUAUUUCAUUAUAUAAUCGUCGGUAUUCAAGUACACCCUGGUGGCUAUCACUCAUAACUUUGAAAAAGAUCGGGGGAGAUUCCCGCUGGAUGUUCAACAAAUUCGUAGAUAUUUGGUCUUAUAAAACCGGUCUUAGGAAUGAUCUAUGAAGAAAGUUUAAAAGUAACUUGUUUUUGUGUCAUUAUUUUCCCUCAGCUAUAUUCUUUUGCCGCCACCACCUUCUGACAGUACUCCAUGUUUUCGUGUGGGGUGGGGGAAGGAUUACUAUGAGCCAAUGAAAUGACACGGUAUUCUGA